UGCCAGAAGAUUUCAGAGAUUGUGGAUCUGUGGGCAAAAUGUAGCGAACCACAGAGACAUCAUUCACCUGAGAGAGAGAGAGAGAGAGAGAGAGAGAGAGAGAGAGACUGAAGGGUGAAGUAUGAGAGGAGAAACAGCUGGAUACAUGCAGACAACCAAAGGAGGAGUGCAGGCUCUUACAUGUAUAAGGUCAGCUUUCUCUCUGUCUUACCCCCCACCCAGCUCAUUCCUGUCUCACUCUCUGCCCAGCUCAGUCUGUACUUAAGAGAUUUCUGAGGCACAGCUAAUGGUUUGCUGUUGCUUUUUACAGACUACAGCAGCCACAAUCACACAGAAAUAACAGCACAUCCUAAAGAACAUGCAGAAUGACAUGAAACAGAGAGAGAGAGAGAGAGAGAGAGAGAGAGAGAGCGAGUGAGCAGAAGAAAGAGAGAGAUAAGAGAUGUAGAGGAAAUAAGGAGUGGUAUAAGAAGUGAGCAUGAGCCUGUCAAAAGCUAGCUUUUAAAGGGGUCAUAUGAUGCUGCUAAAAAUAACAUUAUUUUGUGUAUUUAGUGUAAUGAAAUGUGUUUAUGUGGUUUAAGGUUAAAAAAACACAUUAUUUUCCAGAUACUGUACAUUAUUGUUUCUCCUCUAUGCCCCGCCUUCUGAAACGCAUCGAUUUUUACAAGGCUCAUCGCUCUGAAAAGUGAGGUUUGCUCUGAUUGGCCAGCUAUCCAGUGUGUUGUGAUUGGUUGAAUACCUCAAGCAUGUGAUGGAAAUGUUACGCCCCUUAACAUACUGUGAUGCCGUGUGUCCCGGCACGACAAGACAAAAACAUAAAACCCAUUAUAAACGAGGCAUUUGUUGCAUCCAGUGGGGACAUAAUUACUGAUUAUAAUGACUUAUACUUUAUUUUUAUGCGUUGCAUUGUGUAUUGUGCCGCAUAAACAUAAAACCAUGUCUGCAUUUGUGAUUGGAGAAACGACAAACAACAAGCUCUACUCUACACUGCUCAAAACUCGCGUUUGAAUCAUCAGUGGCAAAUUCUUUAAAUAUGAAAACAUACUUACAGGCUGUGCGUCAGAAGCGCCUGACUGUCCUUGCAAAGUUGGAUUGCCCCACUUUAUAGAAACAGACUCCGGCAUUGUAGGCUUCUGGUUCAGGAAACAGUCCUCCGUAAAAUGCGCUGCACACAUCUGAAUAUUUGGGUUGAACUGUUCUGGAACAGUGUUGAAAUACAACUUAACCACUGAUUUCUCGUCAUGUCCGCUUUUGGAAGGCCAAACAAAGUAGUUUCGCUUUCACAACGAAACACAGCGUCUCCACGACAUGGCGGCGGUGGCAACAGCGAGAAUAAAAGCUACACCUUCUUUCUUUGC
ensembl:lncRNA